rnacentral:rRNA from 1 species
GGUUAAGUUAUUAAGGGCUUAC